GGUUUUAUAGUGUAAUUAAACAUUAAGGAUUGCAAAUCCCUAGAUGCAACUAAUAAUUGCUAAAGCUU
rnacentral:tRNA from 1 species